CUCCAUUCAUUACUAGAUCCCCAGGGUCUGGCAAAGUACUGGCCACAUAUAAUCUCUCCACCCAACGUGGGGCUUGAACUCACAGCCCCAAGAUCAAGAGUCAAAUGCUCUUCCCACUGAGCCAGCUGGGUACCUCCAGCCUUCUCCUUUAACUGCUGUCACACUUCCCACCAUCACCGCUCUCAGAGUAAAGAGGAGCCUCCUGGACUUGGCUGCUUCAUCACACUAUCAAUCACUGCUUGGAGAAGAGAAGUACCUUCUGUAGGUGGGUAGGAAGACGAAGAGACUGCG